CAACUAGCUGGUUGGAGAGCUUCAAGGGUAAAAUGGGAGAGGUGUUGGUUCUUCGAUGUCUACAUCUGGAGUCUUUUACUGUUUUACACAGCCAUAGUUCACCGACUUCAGUUUUGGCUUCCAUUCUUCACCGACUUCCUUGCUUUCUUCUCUUUCGAUUCGAAGAUCAAUUUCCAUCUAAACUCAUCUCCGUCUGCUGCUCGCCUGGCCUUGGCCUCUGAUCAGGUGAUUUUAUCAUUAAGAUGCCAAUGUUGACUGCUCCAAGUACAAUUGUUAGCUCGCCUCUAUUGCCAACAGAUUUUGAAAUGAGGUAUUUCUUCCAUCAGUUUGUGUUUUCAUUGUUUACCGACUUCCUUGCCUUCGUCUUUUUCAUCGCUAUGAUCUUCCUCUUAUCUUCCAAGGUGCUCACUUUCCGACUCACUUGGGUUCUAUCAGGAAGGGGAUUGAAUCUCACAGAUUAGCUCAGCUGCACCCAGAAAACUAUCUGAGAAGAUAAUCUGCAGAGCAAGGAAUUUGCAAUCUAUUGAGCAAAGGUUGGGAGCUGCUUUUGGAGCCUCAUUUAUUUGGCCUGCAAGCUUGAUUUACUUCUCCAGGUGUUUUGAAUCAAGUGCUUCCUUCUAUUCUUCAAAAAGACAUAUAUUCUGGUCAAGAUCUCCAUCAAAGAGAAGAAAAGUCAUGAAGAAAUUGCAAAACAAAAACUGCCCAAUUAAACAGCAUGCUACUCAAAACUAUCUAAAUUUUGCUAUUUUGAUAACUGCUUCGCACUAUUAAUAUCUCAAUGUAUAUACAAACAUGCCUACUAUUUUAACAUAACAAGCAGCCUGUAAAAUAUGGUAUUACUUUCUUUUUUAGCAACUUAUACUUCCUUAGUUAAGCAUAAUGCUACAAAUUAAAUCUCAUUGUAUAUAAACAAUCUUAUUUUGUCUACGUAAUUUCAAAACCCGCAGCAUCGUGCGGGCUUUUUUUCUAGUGUAAA